ACCGUCUUUAUCUCGGGGUUGCGCAUCAUUCCAAUGAACGUUUAGUGAGGAUUGAUCUGCUAACACCACUAAAAUAUCAACGUGUCACCGACUCUCAGUUGGUCGGCACAAUUUUUGAGGCU
rnacentral:ncRNA from 1 species